CGGCGCCUGGUCGCCGGGCGGCGUCGGCCGGUUCAGCACCGGCGGCGUGGUGCCGUCCGGGCGGUAGGCGUCGU
rnacentral:tRNA from 1 species